rnacentral:rRNA from 1 species
AUUGAACGCUGGCGGCAGGCCUAACACAUGCAAGUCGAGCGGAUGACGGGAGCUUGCUCCUUGAUUCAGCGGCGGACGGGUGAGUAAUGCCUAGGAAUCUGCCUGGUAGUGGGGGACAACGUUUCGAAAGGAACGCUAAUACCGCAUACGUCCUACGGGAGAAAGCAGGGGACCUUCGGGCCUUGCGCUAUCAGAUGAGCCUAGGUCGGAUUAGCUAGUUGGUGGGGUAAUGGCUCACCAAGGCAACGAUCCGUAACUGGUCUGAGAGGAUGAUCAGUCACACUGGAACUGAGACACGGUCCAGACUCCUACGGGAGGCAGCAGUGGGGAAUAUUGGACAAUGGGCGAAAGCCUGAUCCAGCCAUGCCGCGUGUGUGAAGAAGGUCUUCGGAUUGUAAAGCACUUUAAGCUGGGAGGAAGGGCAGUAAGCUAAUACCUUGCUGUUUUGACGUUACCGACAGAAUAAGCACCGGCUAACUCUGUGCCAGCCGCCGCAGUAAUAC